AUGAACGCUGGCGGCGUGCCUCAUACAUGCAAGUCGAGCGAACGGACGAGAAGCUUGCUUCUCUGAUGUUAGCGGCGGACGGGUGAGUAACACGUGGAUAACCUACCUAUAAGACUGGGAUAACUUCGGGAAACCGGAGCUAAUACCGGAUGAUAUUUUGAACCGCAUGGUUCAAAAGUGAAAGACGGUCUUGCUGUCACUUAUAGAUGGAUCCGCGCUGCAUUAGCUAGUUGGUAAGGUAACGGCUUACCAAGGCAACGAUGCAUAGCCGACCUGAGAGGGUGAUCGGCCACACUGGAACUGAGACACGGUCCAGACUCCUACGGGAGGCAGCAGUAGGGAAUCUUCCGCAAUGGGCGAAAGCCUGACGGAGCAACGCCGCGUGAGUGAUGAAGGUCUUCGGAUCGUAAAACUCUGUUAUUAGGGAAGAACAUAUGUGUAAGUAACUGUGCACAUCUUGACGGUACCUACUCAGAAAGCCACGGCUAACUACGUG
rnacentral:rRNA from 1 species